CAAGACCAGCCUGGGCAGCAAAUGUUACGUGGCUGCAUGACCAUACACUUCUGGGUAGAGCCCAGUGGAAGACAAAGAAGACUCAAGGAAUAGCCCUUGAGGGCUCAGGAGCUAUACAGAUGGGAUAGAGGGUGUGAGUGCUGGGAAGCCCCAUCCAUGGCUCGCUGGAGAUUAGAGGCCUGUUAAUCUGAAGACAAAGGAAUGAAGACGAAAACGUUUCUGAAAAUGUGGGUGGAGACACCUGGGC
rnacentral:lncRNA from 1 species